UGGGAAUUUUGGACAAUGGGCGAAAGCCUGAUCCAGCAAUGCCGCGUGUGUGAAGAAGGCCUUCGGGUUGUAAAGCACUUUUGUCCGGAAAGAAAUCCUUGGCUCUAAUACAGUCGGGGGAUGACGGUACCGGAAGAAUAAGCACCGGCUAACUACGUGCCAGCAGCCGCGGUAAUACGUAGGGUGCAAGCGUUAAUCGGAAUUACUGGGCGUAAAGCGUGCGCAGGCGGUUUGCUAAGACCGAUGUGAAAUCCCCGGGCUCAACCUGGGAACUGCAUUGGUGACUGGCAGGCUAGAGUAUGGCAGAGGGGGGUAGAAUUCCACGUGUAGCAGUGAAAUGCGUAGAGAUGUGGAGGAAUACCGAUGGCGAAGGCAGCCCCCUGGGCCAAUACUGACGCUCAUGCACGAAAGCGUGGGGAGCAAACAGGAUUAGAUACCCUGGUAGUCCACGCCCUAAAACGAUGUCAACUAGUUGUUGGGGAUUCAUUUCCUUAGUAACGUAGCUAACGCGUGAAGUUGACCGCCUGGGGAGUACGGUCGCAAGAUUAAAACUUAAAUGAAUUGACGGGGUCAUAGCUGUUUCCU
rnacentral:rRNA from 1 species